GACGAACGCUGGCGGCGUGCUUAACACAUGCAAGUCGAACGGAAAGGCCCUGCUUUUGUGGGGUGCUCGAGUGGCGAACGGGUGAGUAACACGUGAGUAACCUGCCCUUGACUUUGGGAUAACUUCAGGAAACUGGGGCUAAUACCGGAUAGGAGCUCCUGCUGCAUGGUGGGGGGUGGAAAGUUUCGGCGGUUGGGGAUGGACUCGCGGCUUAUCAGCUUGUUGGUGGGGUAGUGGCUUACCAAGGCUUUGACGGGUAGCCGGCCUGAGAGGGUGACCGGCCACAUUGGGACUGAGAUACGGCGCAGACUCCUACGGGAGGCAGCAGUGGGGAAUAUUGCACAAUGGGCGGAAGCCUGAUGCAGCAACGCCGCGUGCGGGAUGACGGCCUUCGGGUUGUAAACCGCUUUCGCCUGUGACGAAGCGUGAGUGACGGUAAUGGGUAAAGAAGCACCGGCUAACUACGUG
rnacentral:rRNA from 1 species